GUUUUCGUAGUGUAGUGGUCAGCACACUCGGCCGUAUUCGAGAGGUCCGUGGUUCGAGUCCCGUCGGAUGCA
rnacentral:tRNA from 1 species